rnacentral:lncRNA from 1 species
GUGACUGCCCACUCAAUCCUCGCGUGUUAGCUUAGACCUUCUUUUGUUGAGGUAGCCUUCCAGACCCCUUGUCCCUGCAAGACCGUCCCCACGUGCCCACCAAACUCUCAGCCCCACAGCUGCUGUCACCUGCUUUACCCGCACCCCUCACUACUGUGCAGUCAAGGCUUGUGCCUGCCUUUGUACUCUUAAAGCAAAGCCCACAGCCUUGUUCAGUAAAGGUUUACUUGGAAGUUUGUGAAAGUCCCAUCGCCAGGCAUUAUUGUUCAAUAUGUGCUACUUGUGCUUAAGUAAUGGAGUGACACGCCUGUCUAAUAAGGUAUGGAUGCUGAGAGCAUGCUGAUGUUUUUGAGUUGUUCUGCUGACUUCUAGCUUAAUCUCUGCUUUUUGAAUUUCAAUGAAAACGCUUUUCUCUUUCCACCAACAAUUCAUAUGAAUGAUCCCAUCAAAAUCUUCAAGUCAGUUUUAUGGGUUACAAAAGGUAUUUGGUGAUGGGUACAGCUAAAGAAUAAAAUGAAGCAGAAGAAUCUUUUGUCAUUGUAUUUUUAGAGCUUAGAGGUGUUAGCUGUUAAUGACAUUUAAAUAACACACUGUUUUGGAUUUCACUGGGAAAACUAAUGACAUGCAUCUAAAGAAAUUCAAAGAAUCAAUGUGUAAAGGAGUGG